GUAAAUAUAGUUUAACAAAAACAUUAGAUUGUGAAUCUAACAAUAGAAGACUUAACCCUCUUAUUUACC
rnacentral:tRNA from 1 species